rfam:Bacillus glycinifermentans strain GO-13 contig_29, whole genome shotgun sequence.
ACUGAGCGGCAGCUUCCACAUUGAUCAGCCCUUUUCCAUAGUAGAAAGAAUCUCCCAAAUUAGUCGCGGUGCUUGAGAGGCGGUCGCGAACUUGGGAAGCUGAAAGCGCAGGGGAUUUUGACAAGAUCAGGGCUGCUGCUCCCG